rnacentral:rRNA from 1 species
AUUGAACGCUGGCGGCAUGCCUUACACAUGCAAGUCGAACGGCAGCACGGGUGCUUGCACCUGGUGGCGAGUGGCGAACGGGUGAGUAAUACAUCGGAACGUACCUUAUCGUGGGGGAUAACGCAGCGAAAGCUGUGCUACUACCGCAUACGCCCUGUGGGGGAAAGCGGGGGAUCGCAAGACCUCGCGCGAUUAGAGCGGCCGAUGCCUGAUUAGCUAGUUGGUGGGGUAAAAGCCCACCAAGGCGACGAUCAGUAGCUGGUCUGAGAGGACGAUCAGCCACACUGGGACUGAGACACGGCCCAGACUCCUACGGGAGGAAGCAGUGGGGAAUUUUGGACAAUGGGGGCAACCCUGAUCCAGCAAUGCCGCGUGAGUGAAGAAGGCCUUCGGGUUGUAAAGCUCUUUUGUCAGGGAAGAAACACCGGCUCUAACACAGUCCGGGAAUGACGGUACCUGAAGAAUAAGCACCGGCUAACUACGUGCCAGCCGCCGCCGUAA